CUAAAGUAUGGCACCUUAACACACAUUACCACUCAUUUCAGCCAUAGCUGGUCAAACGACCAUUUCACCCACAACCUGUGAACCUGGGAUUCAAAAUCACUGAAGGCUGCACAAUCAACAGCCGCAAUCUACGAGGAGAUAUAGAUUUGACAUGUAAUAAAAUCUAACGGACUGUCAUUUUCUUUCCAGAACAGUCUCAUAAGAUGAAUAAAGCGGGAGAAUGUGUUUGUCAGACAUAGUGUGCUGAUGUUAGAAGUUGGUAUUGUAUGGAGCAGCAGGCUAGUGCAUGAUGGGGACUUUUGCUCAAGGACUUGGUUUGGACAGUAACAGUGGAUUUACCAUUUUUUAGGUCAUCAACAUGAGGGGUUUGUAACAGGUAGUUAUAACAGACAACACGAGGGGUUUGUAACAGGUAGUUGUUAUAACAGACAACAUGAGGGGUUUGUAACAGGUAGUUGUUAUAACAGACAACAUGAGGGGUUUGUAACAGGUAGUUGUUAUAACAGACAACAUGAGGGGUUUGUAACAGGUAGUUGUUAUAACAGACAACAUGAGGGGUUUGUAACAGGUAGUUGUUAUAACAGACAACAUGAGGGGUUUGUAACAGGUAGUUGUUAUAACAGACAACAUGAGGGGUUUGUAACAGGUAGUUGUUAUAACAGACAACAUGAGGGGUUUGUAACAGGUAGUUGUUAUAACAGACAACAGGUAGUUGUUAUAACAGACAACAUGAGGGGUUUGUAACAGGUAGUUGUUAUAACAGACAACAUGAGGGGUUUGUAACAGGUAGUUGUUAUAACAGACAACACGAGGGGUUUGUAACAGGUAGUUGUUAUAACAGACAACAUGAGGGGUUUGUAACAGGUAGUUGUUAUAACAGACAACAUGAGGGGUUUGUAACAGGUAGUUGUUAUAACAGACAACAUGAGGGGUUUGUAACAGGUAGUUGUUAUAACAGACAACAGGUAGUUGUUAUAACAGACAACAUGAGGGGUUUGUAACAGGUAGUUGUUAUAACAGACAACAUGAGGGGUUUGUAACAGGUAGUUGUUAUAACAGACAACAUGAGGGGUUUGUAACAGGUAGUUGUUAUAACAGACAACAUGAGGGGUUUGUAACAGGUAGUUGUUAUAACAGACAACAUGAGGGGUUUGUAACAGGUAGUUGUUAUAACAGACAACAUGAGGGGUUUGUAACAGGUAGUUGUUAUAACAGACAACAUGAGGGGUUUGUAACAGGUAGUUGUUAUAACAGACAACAGGUAGUUGUUAUAACAGACAACAUGAGGGGUUUGUAACAGGUAGUUGUUAUAACAGACAACAUGAGGGGUUUGUAACAGGUAGUUGUUAUAACAGACAACAUGAGGGGUUUGUAACAGGUAGUUGUUAUAACAGACAACAUGAGGGGUUUGUAACAGGUAGUUGUUAUAACAGACAACAUGAGGGGUUUGUAACAGGUAGUUGUUAUAACAGACAACAUGAGGGGUUUGUAACAGGUAGUUGUUAUAACAGACAACAUGAGGGGUUUGUAACAGGUAGUUGUUAUAACAGACAACAUGAGGGGUUUGUAACAGGUAGUUGUUAUAACAGACAACAUGAGGGGUUUGUAACAGGUAGUUGUUAUAACAGACAACAGGUAGUUGUUAUAACAGACAACAUGAGGGGUUUGUAACAGGUAGUUGUUAUAACAGACAACAUGAGGGGUUUGUAACAGGUAGUUGUUAUAACAGACAACAUGAGGCGUUUGUAACAGGCAGUUUUUACUAAUGAUGAUAACAUAUUGUUUUGAACUAAUGUUGUCUGAUGUUUAUUCACUAACAUGCUUACUUUUAUUUGGGGAUUUUGUUUUAUUGAUGUAAUACAUACUGUAUUAACUGCAUACACCAGGUGGAAGUUAUUGCUAGAUAGCCAGUAAGAGGAUGUUGAGUUCUAUUGAUGUCUAUGAAUGCUUUCUUAAAAAGGGGCAAAUCCUAACUUCCAUUUAGUCAUGCAUUGAUGUCAAUGGAGACUAAGUGAAAACGUUACUUAAGUGAAAGUUAGGAUUCGCCCGCAAAAUGCAGAUAAAUCAUUAGAGAAGAGAGGCCUGUUUCGGAUAGAUUAUGACAUUAUAUAUUCAGCUCAUUAUACUGCAGCUGUGAACAUAAUACAAACAUGCAUCAAAGUAAAGGACAUUACAUUCGUCAGUCUGUCACCACGCAGAUACUUAGCCAUGCUACUUGAAUAGCAGCACACAAGCUGCGCUCCCAAAGAUUCAGAUGUGUAAUUUGUCUCACAAAACACAGUUGAUUUUCUAUUGCAUUCACUAUCGCAUUCAUUUGUUGGUUUUUAGCUUGCGUUUUAGCGUCCAGUGGCAUUCUUGUUUUCCAUGGAAUUUUAUUUUCAGUAUUUUUUUUAUUCACGGACGUAAAACAUAUUGCACAAUCUUAAACAACAUAACACAACACUGCUAUAUUGACUUGACAUCCAUACACAUGUAACAUUUAAAACCUAACGGUUACUAACCCUAACAGUAACUAACCCUAACAGUAACUAACCCUAACAGUAACUAACCCUAACGGUAACUAACCCUAACGGUAACUA